UGGGGCGGAUGGGCUCCGGCAGCCGCGAAGGAUGCAGCUCGGGGCGCGCGCCCAGGGAGAUGUGGGGCGGCGGUGCGGCCACGAGGGCCCGCUGCGGGUCGCAGGCGGCGCUCGUCUUCCUCCUCCCUGCACCGUCUCGGGAUGCCCCAGUCGGCGAUGUGGCAAGCCCCGCAGGCGGCGCAUGCCAUUUCCAUUUCGCAUGGGAUCUCUUUCUUGUGCACGCCAUUUCCAUUUCGCACGCCUCCUCCUCUCCCCACUGCGAUCCUGCUCUCCGUCGAUUUGAUUGCUAGAGCCAAAGAGAAGGGCGGCGGUGGAGGCCACCGGUGGCCGCACAAGCGAGAAGGAGAAGCAAGGAGGGCCAUCGCGCACCCGCACUCGACGUGGUGCAGCUCUCGGCGACCACGGCGCGUUGCUGCUCCCCACCAAUGCAUCCGCCUGAGGCCGCCGCCGGCGACGCGUCGAGCUUCAGCAGCGACUGGCGACGGUCGGCCAUGGGAGGUGGACAAGGGACGAGCGUGGUGUUCCCUGCAGCAGCAGCAGCGACGUGGAGCGAUCGAAUUCAGGAAGGCCACCGCAGCAAGCAAGUCCAUCUCCCAACUCUAAGUACAGACAGCACCGGUGAUGCGCUCGUGUUGAGUCCUAGCAUGAAGUGAUUGCCCAACGUUUCCCGUACAGAUCCACAAAGGAUUCCUCCCCACACGUCGAGCUACCAUGGCGGACACAACGAUUCUGCGGAGGAUGUGGCCUUCCCCAACCUUUCUCGCCGGUGAGGAGGCUUGACCCCACGGUCUGUGGAGGACGGUGGUGAGCAUGAUGCUACAUUUUGGAUCCAAAUGUUUCGAGAUGAAGUUUCAAAUGUUGCAGUUGCAGAUACAUUUUUGAUUUUUUUUUACAAAGUUUUGAAUUGUUGCAUC